GGUUCCAUUUUGUAGUGGUUAUCACGUCUGCUUUACAAGCAGACGGUCCUGGGUUCAUGCCCCAGUGGAACCU
rnacentral:tRNA from 1 species